rnacentral:lncRNA from 1 species
GGGAUCCUUGAUGCCUACAUCCAUAACAGGAGUUUGCCCCUGCCAGGCUCCAAAGAAGGAUGUUGUGAGAACCAACGAGAAGCACCCAGUGCAGGGACAGCUCCAACGUGGGUCUCAGAAGAACUGUUUGGCUUCUGAGCCAGCUCAGAGAGGGAGGCUCUUCCUGGACCUCCUUCCCUUUUCCAGGAGUCCGGUCCUUUUUAGGAGAGAGCUGUCUGAGAUUGAAGCUGCAAAGACCCCUUUUUUCCAAGAAGGUCUAAGGGAUGCUCAGGUUUCUCCAUCCCUGGCACCUGGUCACGUGACUUGUUUUGGCCACUCUGAGCAGUAACACACUUGAUGUAGCAGAGGGUUUGCUCUCUCGCGGCUCUUGGAAACUGCCAAGACUGCCACCAGGGGACAGGCCCAGAUUAGCCUCUGCAUGACGACGACCGUGUGGCUCAGUCACCCCACUCAGCAGCCAGCCAAGCACCUGACCAGUGAGUGAGGCCACCCACAGUCCACAGACCACAAGACCCCCACCAAAACCAACCAAGGCCAGCAGAAGAUGCACCUGGCUGACCCCAGCCCAAACCUCUGAGCCACAGAUGCAAGAGAGGUACAGAUGGUUGUGGUCAGAAACCAUUGGGCCUGGGGUGGUUUGCAGUACAGCCG